GGGGCCGCAAGUGCUUUGGAUGAAGAAAAUUUUUGUUCUAGUCCACAACUUUCGACACUUGCUACAACUGCUGCUUCUGGAGAAGCUUGCACACCACUUAUUGAUGUCCAACUGUCACCAAAGAAGGCUCUCUGUCACGCAAUGCUAAAGAGUCGCUUUGCAGAUACUAUCUUGAGAGCAGAACAGAAGAUACUUUUAAAUCAUGGUGGUAAAGCUGAUGUGUUAAAAAUGCAGCAGGACAAGGAAAAAAUGGAAAGAAUGCAGCAUGAAGAGAUGUUAAGAAUUCAAGCUGAAAUCAAGGCUGCUGAAGCUGCCUCGCGACUAAGAGCAAAAGCUGAACUGAAAAUGCAGCGGGAGAGAG